rnacentral:rRNA from 1 species
UACGUAGGGGGCAAGCGUUGCCCGGAUUUAUUGGGCGUAAAGAGCGUGUAGGCGGCCAUACAGGUCAGCUGUGAAAACUCGAGGCUCAACCUCGAGACGUCGGUUGAAACCGUAUGGCUAGAGUCCGGAAGAGGAGAGUGGAAUUCCCGGUGUAGCGGUGAAAUGCGCAGAUAUCGGGAAGAACACCCGUGGCGAAGGCGGCUCUCUGGGACGGUACUGACGCUGAGACGCGAAAGCGUGGGGAGCGAACAGG